rnacentral:rRNA from 1 species
GACGAACGCUGGCGGCGUGCCUAAUACAUGCAAGUAGGACGCAGUUGCGAACGGGUGAGUAACGCGUAGGUAAUUACCUAUUAGAGGGGGAUAACUAUUGGAAACGAUUGCUAAUACCGCAUAUUAGUAGAUGGAACUUCGUUGUAUUAGUUAGUAGGUAGGGUAAUGGCCUACCGAGGCAACGAUACAUAGCCGACCCGAGAGGGUGAUCGGCCACACUGGGACUGAGACACGGCCCAGACUCCUACGGGAGGCAGCAGUAGGGAAUCUGCGGCAAUGGUGGGAAGCCUGACCGAGCAACUCCGCGUGAGUGAAGAAGGUUUUCGGAUCGUAAAGCUCUGUUGUUAAGGAAGCGGUACUUAACCAGAAAGGGACGGCUAACUACGUGCCAGCAGCCGCGGUAAUAC